UACGUAGGGGGCGAGCGUUGUCUGGAUUUAUUGGGCGUAAAGAGCGUGUAGGCGGCCAGGUAGGUCUGCUGUGAAAACUCGAGGCUCAACCUCGAGACGUCGGCGGAAACCAUCUGGCUAGAGGCCGGAAGAGGAGAGUGGAAUUCCUGGUGUAGCGGUGAAAUGCGCAGAUAUCAGGAAGAACACCCGUGGCGAAGGCGGCUCUCUGGGACGGUACUGACGCUGAGGCGCGAAAGCGUGGGGAGCAAACAGG
rnacentral:rRNA from 1 species